AAAUAUGUCUUAAAGAAAAAGUUUGUGUGUCAACUGCUUAAUUUUGUGGUGGGACAAGCAAAAAUGGCUAUUUAUUUAAGCAGGAGAAAAAAAAUUGAACAGGAUGUACACUGUAAAAAAUUUCCGUAAAAAUACGGUACAAUGUACCAUAUAAAUGUGAAGGAUUUUUUCCGUAUUUGUCUUUUACGGAUCUUUUACCCUUAUUUUGAAUUACGCGUUGCAUUGUGGGAAAAAGAUCCCGGCAGCGCGAAAAGUUUAAGACGCAUCCGCCAUUACACACGCAGAUGACCGGGGGCAAAGUUGCUUUUUAGAGCCGGAUUUCGGGUGUGUUGAAGCCAUUCUGACACUUAUGUGGUAAAACUUAAACUUAAAAACGAAAAUUAUGUUUUGCUUGAUGUCAAAAAAGCUGUUAACGUAACGUUAUUUUUAGUUACCAUCUGGCAUUAACUGUUAGGCAAAUAAAUGUCGGAGCCGUCACGUUUAUCAUUUUAUGCAUAUCGUCACACAUUGAAAGAUUUAGUUAUGACUCGUGGAUGUUCUCGAUUGUAGUGUCCUUGUUGUAAUGGGCUUAUUUACUUUUAUUUGUCGUGAUGCGUUUUAUUUCUUGCCGAGCGAAUCCGUUAACUAGUUGUGAUAUUUCUAACGUUAGCUAGCUGCUAGUGGUUUUAGAGCAAUUUAAUGCCUUCAAGCAAAAGCAACCAGAGCAGAGGAAUCGUCAAGAAAAGUAAACGCCAUUAAGACUUGCUUGAUUUGAAAGGCAUGAAGACACAACGUGAAGAGACUGUGUGUGAAUAUGCAGUAACUUAACCGGUAGCUGCUACAGCUGGAUCAAGGAAAACACCAGCACCUUUUCUGCAAAAUGAGGACCUUUCUGCUGUAGUUUACAUCCCAAGCACCACCUGCAUGCUUCUUAUGGGUGGUGGACAUUCAGGGUUGCUGUCAUUCAAGAAGUUAUUGACCAUCUCCUACCCUAUUAAGGCAGUAAGAUGCAAAAUACCUGAAGAAAAUGGCACUUAUCCUGGAGUUCAUAUAAAGAAAUCCUGAACGAAGGUUGAAAAGGCUGAGAUGAAGGAAACGUCCCCAUUCCUCCAAAACUGCUGAAGUUCCUGUUUGAACAACUUCGAAAAACCAGCUGGCAUCUUGGGGAGGACGACCUCGCAUCCAGUAUGCUGCUGUGGGUGACGCAGGAUUUCGAACUCAUUCGAUCACUUGUCUCUAUGCUUUUCGAACUGUGGCGACUAAUCGUGCCUUGCUGUGGGUCAAGCCGCUGGAUCUUCAGAUCUUCUUCGAUCUGCUUAAUCCAUCCUUUUUUGGGUGCAGUGCGCUGGAUUCUACACUGGGUUGGACGUUUCCUCCAGAGGACUUGUGGUAUUCAAUUUGCAUCCAUUCUGCACGUGUCCAAACAUUUCACUCUAUUGACUAGAAGUCUAAAGCAAUUUUUAAGGAUUAAAGCAGAAGCCUUAUCUUCAUUGCAUUUUGUUUGUUUCUGUAUUGUAUCGUAUUCUAUUAGUAUUGCAUUUGAAAAUGUUUUGAAUCUUGACUUUCACAGUUUAUGAAGGGUUUUUUUUCUCAUUUUUUUAAAAUAAUUUUGUGAGCUAUUUGGUACAACACCAAUAUUGUACCUGCUCAUGUUUUCUUUUCUUUUUUUUUCAUUUCUCCCAUGUUUGUUUAAUUUCUUAACUUUUUCCACAAUACAAGCACUUUUUUAUGGUGCUUUGCACAUUGUUAAAUUGUGUGUGUCUGUCUGUGUAUAUCAAUCUUUACCCAUUGAAUACGUUUUAAGAAUGUUUACAUGAAAUUUUUACAAAAAUAAAACAUGUUCAAUAUGUAUAUAUUGUUCUUGAAUUAUUUGCUACCAAAAUAUAUGCUAUAAAAAUAGAAAUUUCUGUAUAAGGAUUAUCCGUGAAUAGUACAGAAAAUACGGAAUUUUCCAUUUUAGGUUUGACGGAAAUGUCCGUCAAUGGUACAGAAAAACUCAUAAAAAUAGAAAUGUAAAUCUACGGAAAUAUCCGUUCUAAGGUUUACGGAAGUGCCCGUACAAAAACGGAAAAAGUGAUGGUAAUUAAUUACCAGCACUUUUUCCGUUUUUUAACGGAGAUUUUUUUAACAGUGUAGUACAAAACAUUGUUGUAUUGUUUUUUAACUUAG